rnacentral:rRNA from 1 species
UCAGGACGAACGCUGGCGGCGUGCUUAACACAUGCAAGUCGAACGAUGAAGCCCUUCGGGGUGGAUUAGUGGCGAACGGGUGAGUAACACGUGGGCAAUCUGCCCUUCACUCUGGGACAAGCCCUGGAAACGGGGUCUAAUACCGGAUACGAGCUUCCAAGGCAUCUUGGAGGUUGGAAAGCUCCGGCGGUGAAGGAUGAGCCCGCGGCCUAUCAGCUUGUUGGUGAGGUAAUGGCUCACCAAGGCGACGACGGGUAGCCGGCCUGAGAGGGCGACCGGCCACACUGGGACUGAGACACGGCCCAGACUCCUACGGGAGGCAGCAGUGGGGAAUAUUGCACAAUGGGCGAAAGCCUGAUGCAGCGACGCCGCGUGAGGGAUGACGGCCUUCGGGUUGUAAACCUCUUUCAGCAGGGAAGAAGCGAAAGUGACGGUACCUGCAGAAGAAGCGCCGGCUAACUACGUGCCAGCAGCCGCGGUAAUACGUAGGGCGCAAGCGUUGUCCGGAAUUAUUGGGCGUAAAGAGCUCGUAGGCGGCUUGUCACGUCGAUUGUGAAAGCCCGAGGCUUAACCUCGGGUCUGCAGUCGAUACGGGCUAGCUAGAGUGUGGUAGGGGAGAUCGGAAUUCCUGGUGUAGCGGUGAAAUGCGCAGAUAUCAGGAGGAACACCGGUGGCGAAGGCGGAUCUCUGGGCCA